rnacentral:rRNA from 1 species
CCUUGUACACACCGCCCGUCACACCAUGGGAGUUGGCUUUACCUGAAGGCGGUGCGCCAACCGUAAGGAGGCAGCCGACCACGGUAGGGUCAGCGACUGGGGUG